rnacentral:rRNA from 1 species
GACGAACCGUGCAAACGUUGUUCGGAAUCACUGGGCUUAAAGGGCGCGUAGGCGGGUCUCCCAGUCUGUGGUGAAAGCCUCCAGCUUAACUGGAGAAGUGCCGUGGAUACUGGAGACCUCGAGGAGGGUAGGGGCAUCUGGAACGGUCGGUGGAGCGGUGAAAUGCGUUGAUAUCGACCGGAACUCCGGUGGCGAAGGCGAGGUGCUGGACCCUUUCUGACGCUGAGGCGCGAAAGCCAGGGGAGCAAACGGG